UACGGAGGGUGCAAGCGUUAUCCGGAUUCACUGGGUUUAAAGGGUGCGUAGGCGGUUGGGUAAGUCUGUCGUGAAAUCUCCGAGCCUAACUCGGAAACUGCGUCGGAUACUAUUCAACUCGAGGAAUGGAGGGGAGACUGGAAUUCUCGGUGUAGCAGUGAAAUGCGUAGAUAUCGAGAGGAACACCAGUGGCGAAGGCGAGUCUCUGGACAUUUCCUGACGCUGAGGCACGAAAGCCAGGGGAGCAAACGGG
rnacentral:rRNA from 1 species